AAUGAAUGUCAAGAGUGUGCAAAGCUGUCAAGGCAAAGGGUCUUCAUCCGCAGCUACCUGGCCUCCCGCAAGGAGGAGCGCAUCGACGUGCUGCAGCUGGCCCAAGACCCCUUCCUCAUGCCCCGGUCACCGGACCUGGUCCGUUGGCAUCGGGCUCCACGCCCUCCACCUCCAGCGCAUACAACAGCAGUGCCUAGAACUGAGGCGCCCAACGCCAACACAGAGGGCCCCUGUAGGGGCCACAUUACUGAAACGCCCUCCCUUCUGGAUAGGGGAAGGAGGAUGGAGGGGGUAAAAACA